UUUAAUCUCAGUGAUUUAAGAGGCUAACAAAGAAGCCUCCCUAAAACUCAGAGAAGAGAUUGCAAAACUCUUCUUUGGAUCCUGUCUGGAGUUACAGUU
rnacentral:snoRNA from 1 species